rnacentral:misc_RNA from 1 species
UACAGAAGCCCCAAGCAUUACCCGGAUUCACUGGGCGUAAAGGGUGCGUAGGCGGUCAUAUUAGUCUUGUGUUAAAUCCUUGGGCUCAACCCAAGGCUCGCAUGAGAAACGGUAUGACUAGAAGGAGUGAGAGGUGUGCGGAACUCACGGUGUAGGGGUGAAAUCCGUUGAUAUCGUGGGGAACACCAAAUGCGAAGGCAGCACACUGGCACUUUCUUGACGCUGAGGCACGAAAGCGUGGGGAGCAAACAGG